GUCCUACGGGAGGCAGCAGUGGGGAAUAUUGCACAAUGGGGGAAACCCUGAUGCAGCGACGCCGCGUGAGUGAAGAAGUAUCUCGGUACGUAAAGCUCUAUCAGCAGGAAAGAAAAUGACGGUACCUGACUAAGAAGCCCCGGCUAACUACGUGCCAGCAGCCGCGGUAAUACGUAGGGGGCAAGCGUUAUCCGGAUUUACUGGGUGUAAAGGGAGCGUAGACGGCGAUGCAAGUCUGAAGUGAAAGGCGGGGGCCCAACCCCCGGACUGCUUUGGAAACUGUAUGGCUGGAGUGCAGGAGAGGG
rnacentral:rRNA from 1 species